CAUGUCGGUAACCCUAGCGCGCCGUGCCAGGUCGGAUUCGGACAAACGUUUAACCCUCGGUGCUCGGGCUCGGCCUCCUCCGCCGUCCCUCGAGGGGCACCUGGGCAUUUAAGCGCCCGCACUGUCACCGGCGGGGUCACACCACGUCGUGCGUCCGUCGAGCGUGCCCGUGGCCCCCGGGGCGCCAUCGUCGUCCUGCCUCGGCUGCUGCACCGUCGCUUGAGUUCCGUGUUACCGCUCCUCUCAAUGGUGCGCUCCUGGUGCAUUUUGGGAGAGAGUCGGGGAGGAUGGCCUGCCCUGCCGCAGCAGCACGCCCCCGCCAGGGCCGCACGGACCGCACUGGGUACUGGUUUCAAAGCGGUGGUGAGAGGAAUGAAUGAACGACUCUAGCACCAUUUGAAAUCAGUUCUUUGUGAGCGUCCUUCUCAGCCGCCAACUCAACGCGGACUGGAUACACAAACUGGAAUAUUUUCUGCUCCACAUUUUCACCAAAGACUUGAUCUAAAACCUGAGUAAUGCAUACUACCUACUGUAUGUAUUUAUUGCUUUCUUAAGGAGUCAUCAUAGAUUUGCGGCCACAACCAUUAAUUAUAAACUUAAAAUCCCCAGAGGUGACACAUCGGACAAAAUUAAAUUAAACAAAAUAUAUAUCCUGCAUGCAACAAUUUGAAAGGUACAUA